CAAUAGCGUAUAUUAAAGUUGUUGCAGUUAAAAAGCUCGUAGUUGGAGUUCAGAGUGAGCUCAGCCGGUCCGCCUCAUGGGUGAGUACUGGUCGACUCUCUCUUGUUUGUGAAUCCCGCCCGGAGUUAAUUCUUCGGGAUGUGGAGUUCACAUCGUUUACCUUGAAAAAUUAGAGUGUUCAAAGCAGGCGUUUGCUUGAAUAUAUUAGCAUGGAAUAAUGGAAUAGGACCCUGGUUCUAUUUUGUUGGUUUUGAGAACCAGAGUAAUGAUUAAUAGGGAUAGUUGGGGGCAUUCAUAUUUCAUUGUCAGAGGUGAAAUUCUUGGAUUUAUGAAAGAUGAACUUCUGCGAAAGCAUUUGCCAAGGAUGUUUUCAUUAAUCAAGAACGAAAGUUAGGGGAUCGAAGACGAUUAGAUACCAU
rnacentral:rRNA from 1 species